rnacentral:rRNA from 1 species
GAUGAACGCUGGCGGCGUGCCUAAUACAUGCAAGUCGAGCGAACGGACGAGAAGAUUGCUUCUCUGAUGUUAGCGGCGGACGGGUGAGUAACACGUGGAUAACCUACCUAUAAGACUGGGAUAACUUCGGGAAACCGGAGCUAAUACCGGAUAAUAUUUUGAACCGCAUGGUGCAAAAGUGAAAGACGGUCUUGCUGUCACAUAUAGAUGGAUCCGCGCUGCAUUAGCUAGUUGGUAAGGUAACGGCCUACCAAGGCAACGAUGCAUAGCCGACCUGAGAGGGUGAUCGGCCACACUGGAACUGAGACACGGUCCAGACUCCUACGGGAGGCAGCAGUAGGGAAUCUUCCGCAAUGGGCGAAAGCCUGACGGAGCAACGCCGCGUGAGUGAUGAAGGUCUUCGGAUCGUAAAACUCUGUUAUUAGGGAAGAACAUAUGUGUAAGUAACUGUGCACAUCUUGACGGUACCUAAUCAGAAAGCCACGGCUAACUACGUG